rnacentral:lncRNA from 1 species
UCAGCUCACCAUUGCUUGGUUUUAGGCCCCGGAGAAGGACUUAGCGUGUGGAACAAGUCGUCUAAGCCAUUGAGAUUUGUUCUGUUAGGUGGACAACCUCUUAACGAACCUGUGGUUCAACAUGGUCCUUUCGUGAUGAACUCACAAGACGAAAUUGAUCAAACUUUCGAGGAUUAUCAAUACUGCAAGAAUGGUUUUGAGAAUGCUCGAUACUGGAGAUCCGGACAUUGUAAACUUACAACUAUAGGAAACUUUCGGUCUUAUAAUUCCUUUUGACCUAUGUCGCUCGAACUCUUUGAAAGAUGCACUACUGUUGGACGAUCUGACACGCACCCGUUGGCAUUUUUAAAGAGUCUGAGCAACACAACUUUUGACUCGACCCCAUAUAGAUACUUUACACACCACCAAUUUAUUGCACUUCACUUUGACUAAAUUCUCAAAGAUUUUGGACAUUUUAUGAAAUCAUGUUCGCAGAAAUACAAGGUAAGGCUGUGUACAAUAUACCCUUGUGGUGGGCCCUGACGCCGCGCAUAGCGGUAGCUUUAGUGCACCGGGCUGCCCUUUUAUGUUCUUGAAAUCAAGAACUAUUUGUCCCAAAUGUGACAUCUAGACUUAUUUUUAAAUUUAUGUAUAUCAUCUCUAAACAUGUCCCAAUAGUCUUUCGAAAAAUCGAUUUUGCAGCUUGUUCAGCUCAGUUUGAAUUAGCCCGAACCUAUAAUGUCCCAAGUCAAAUUUAUAUUCCGAAAAGUGAAAACUUUGUGGCGUUUACAUGGUCGAUAUAGUACCUCUUUUGCCUUCUUAAUAACUAUACUCGAAAACUAUUGAAAUAUAAAUUCUAAACUAUGUUGCUCAGAUCCUCCAGAAAUGCUACCAUGUCUGUGUUGGAUCCUCCAGAAAAAUGCUUAGCUUUUGGAGCAUCCGAGCAACAUAAAUUUUAAAUCGUUCUAGUUUCACCCUGCUCUGUGUAUCACUAAGUUGAAAAUACAACUGCAGGAUUGAGCCAAGGUAUCAAGAACUGCUGGACGAGGACAUACCACGAGCAGAGAACAACGGGGUUAAAGUAAAAAUUAUAGCAGGUGAAGCGAUGGGAGUCCAAUCUCCAGUUUACACACGAACGCCUACAAUGUACCUCGAUUUCACCCUACAACCAACAUCUUACCAUCAUCAAGCCAUCCCAGAGUCUUGGAAUGCGUUCGUGUAUAUAAUCGAAGGAGAAGGUGUCUUCGGUAUUACAAAUUCAGGUCCGGUAUCAGCUCACCAUUGCUUGGUUUUAGGCCCCGGAGAAGGACUUAGCGUGUGGAACAAGUCGUCUAAGCCAUUGAGAUUUGUUCUGUUAGGUGGACAACCUCUUAACGAACCUGUGGUUCAACAUGGUCCUUUCGUGAUGAACUCACAAGACGAAAUUGAUCAAACUUUCGAGGAUUAUCAAUACUGCAAGAAUGGUUUUGAGAAUGCUCGAUACUGGAGAUCCGGAUACUGAAGAAAUGGAGCCG